rnacentral:rRNA from 1 species
AGUGAACGCUGGCGGCAUGCUUUACACAUGCAAGUCAACGGCAGCACGGGCUUCGGCCUGGUGGCGAGUGGCGAACGGGUGAGUAAUGCAUCGGAACGUGCCCAUUUGUGGGGGAUAACGCGGCGAAAGUCGCGCUAAUACCGCAUACGCCCUGAGGGGGAAAGCGGGGGAUUCUUCGGAACCUCGCGCAAUUGGAGCGGCCGAUGUCCGAUUAGCUAGUUGGUGGGGUAAAGGCCCACCAAGGCGACGAUCGGUAGCUGGUCUGAGAGGAUGAUCAGCCACACUGGGACUGAGACACGGCCCAGACUCCUACGGGAGGCAGCAGUGGGGAAUUUUGGGCAAUGGGGGAGACCCUGACCCAGCGACGCCGCGUGAGGGACGAAGGCCCUUGGGUCGUAAACCUCUUUUGCAGGGGAAGAAGUAGAUGACGGUACCUUGCGAAUAAGUCCCGGCUAACUACGUG